UGGGGGAUAUUGGUCAAUGGAGGAAACUCUGAACCAGCGACGCCGCGUGAGGGAAGAAGGUCUUCGGAUUGUAAACCUUUGUUGACAGGGACGAUACAAGACGGUACCUGUCGAGGAAGCCACGGCUAACUACGUGCCAGCAGCCGCGGUAAUACGUAUGGUGCAAGCGUUAUCCGGAUUUACUGGGUGUAAAGGGAGCGCAGACGGCAUGGCAAGCCAGAUGUGAAAGGUGGGGGCUCAACCCCCAAGCUGCAUUUGGAACUGUCAAGCUAGAGUAUCGGAGAGGUAAGUGGAAUUCCUAGUGUAGCGGUGAAAUGCGUAGAUAUUAGGAGGAACACCAGUGGCGAAGGCGGCUUACUGGACGAUAACUGACGUUGAGGCUCGAAAGCGUGGGGAGCAAACAGGAUUAGAUACCCUGGUAGU
rnacentral:rRNA from 1 species